rnacentral:rRNA from 1 species
GACAGAGGUGCCAAGCGUUAGGCGGAAUCACUGGGCUUAAAGCGUGUGUAGGUGGAUGUCUAAGUACCUUGUGAAAUCCCAUGGCUCAACCAUGGAACUGCUCGGUAUACUGGACGUCUUGAGCCACUUAGGGGCUACCGGAACAAAUGGUGGAGCGGUGAAAUGCGUAGAUAUCAUUUGGAACGCCAAUGGUGAAAACAGGGUAGCUGGGAGUGUGCUGACACUGAGAACACGAAAGCCAGGGGAGCGAACGGG